rnacentral:lncRNA from 1 species
UGUGUGUGUUUUGAUUUUAACUCCCCCUUCUUCAUGAUGAUCUCUAGUCAUACAUUCAAUUAAUUGAAUACACACAUUCAUCUUCUAAGAUAUUUUGCCAGUGUAAGAGUGAUGAUGAUGAUUUCAUUUUUUUUGGAAUGACAAUUACCUUGUUUUGUUUUUGUCAUGGAUGUCGGCGACCCCUUGAUUUUGAUAUGGUGGUCACCGAAUUUGGUUUUGCUUUGUUUAAGGAUUUACCGACCUCUUUUGCUCUUUUG